GCUGAGAUAGCAAAGUGGUUAAUGCAAGAGAUUUAGGAUCUUUUACCGUGGGUUCGACUCCUUCUUUUAGCU
rnacentral:tRNA from 1 species